CUUAUUGUAAACCAAAAGGUACUCUAGUUAUGUAUUCCAAGAUUUGUUCUUUCAAAUUGUUAUUGUUGUAUACUCUCUUUUCUUUUUUGGGCAUGGCUUGAAUUGUUUGCAUAUCAUACGUUACUUCUCAAGUCCAGAGACAUACAUGGGAUUGCUGACUCUCCGCAAUGAUGGGAUAAUAUUCACUCAGAUACUGAUAAUAAGGGAUGAGAACAGUGCUUUAGGAAGAGAAACAAAAGGUGUGCAACCUCUGUACUAUAUGAAAGUUAUCUUAUAUCUCAGCUUUUUCAAGUUUUUAUGUAUCUUUCAAGAAAUACCAUCACAAUCAGCUCAUCGACGCAGAGUUUUAAUUGUUAUGCAGGCUGGUGGAAUUCACGCGCACCAAGAAUCAGCCCAUCGACACAUUUGGAGCUGAGGCUGCUGUAUCUUUGAUCAAGAUGUUUCAAUAGGUGCUGCUGUACAAUAUUUGGCCUCAUGUGCCACAGUAUGUGUUAUUAAAAGUCCUCCAGUGCCUAUUAAUACAUCAAUACAGGGUAUCCCAUUGCAAACUUCAGACAAAUUGGUGCAAGAAAAAUGUACCGAUCCUAAUUUGAGUGGGAAAGAAGUAGUAUUUCAGUCAAAUUUGAGUACUACCGCUACUGGUAGCUGUGAUAAUAUAAGGGAAGCUGAAAAUUUUAAUCGAAAUGUGCAAGAGCCGCUAAGCUAUCACCUCCUUCACUAGAUACAUUGUGCUUUCAAUACCUUGUGCAGACUGAACAUGGCUAUCACUGAUGAGCAUGCUGUUUGUGUUCUUCUGUCAAGAAUCUCAAAGGCCUCUAUUGUUGAUUUUGAUGACACAAUCUAUUGAAAAGUAUUACAAGGGCA
rnacentral:lncRNA from 1 species